GCCGGUGUGGCUCAGUGGUUGAGCGCCGACCUAGGAACCGGGAGGUCAGGGUUUGAUUCCCAGUAGAGGCA
rnacentral:tRNA from 1 species